AUUGAACGCUGGUGGCAUGCUUAACACAUGCAAGUCGAACGGUAACAGGUCUUCGGAUGCUGACGAGUGGCGGACGGGUGAGUAACGCGUAGGAAUCUGCCCAUUUGAGGGGGAUACCAGUUGGAAACGACUGUUAAUACCGCAUAAUAUCUGUGGAUUAAAGGUGGCUUAGGCUGCCGCAGAUGGAUGAGCCUGCGUUGGAUUAGCUAGUUGGUGGGGUAAGGGCCUACCAAGGCUACGAUCCAUAGCUGAUUUGAGAGGAUGAUCAGCCACAUUGGGACUGAGACACGGCCCAAACUCCUACGGGAGGCAGCAGUGGGGAAUAUUGGACAAUGGGGGAAACCCUGAUCCAGCAAUGCCAUGUGUGUGAAGAAGGCUCUAGGGUUGUAAAGCACUUUAGUUGGGGAGGAAAGCCUAUGAGUUAAUAGCUUGUAGGAAGACGUUACCCAAAGAAUAAGGACCGGCUAACUCCGUGCCAGCAGCCGCGGUAAAGUAG
rnacentral:rRNA from 1 species